UCCAUUAUUUUAGAAAAGACUUUUUCUGCUCUCUUGCCUCUACAGUUGGUUUUAGAUAACUUAAAUGUGUAGGAGUUUUUCUGCUGAAGAACGUGGGAGCAAAAAGAGAUCCUCAAAGCAAGCUCUGGAGAGGCAGUCCCAAGACUCAAGGCUUGCCUUGCAUCCAACCCUCACAGAAGCUCCUUUUUCCAUUCUUAAUGAUAAGCUAAGAUUCAGAACAGAAAACUUGAAGGGGCAACUUCUGACUUCUUAAACACUUGUGUGAUUCCAUUAGCACCCGCAGGAGCAUGCAAUGAAAAUUGGGACUGAAUUUUGUAAUUAAGAGAUUUGAGAGUGCCACAAGGUGGAAAAAGGCUUUAACAAGAUAUUUCAGAGAUCCUUGGAUUUUUCUGAUGUAGCUGCGUGUUUCCUGAACCUUCCUGAUUUAAGGUCAUAAGGCUCACUGAUGAGGCUGACAGCUGGACUGAGGGCCUCACAGAAUCAGACCUGAAAUCGGACAGAAUUUACCCGUGAGAAUUUUACAGUGGAAAUUUUGCAGCUUCAGUGAAACCCACAGAGAAGGCCAAGAAGAUAAUCAGUGAGAGAAGAUGUUCUGGACACAAGGGGAGGAUGCUCUUGUUAUGGGACAUUAAGAGUGUACAAGGAAGAACUUGUGGAUAAUAUGUAGCAACUAUACCUUUGCUUGUAUAGCUAGUUGUUUUACUGCUUGAAUGGUCAUUGUUUGUUAGACAGCCUUGUAAUUGUUUGCUAAGCAGCCAAU